ensembl:lncRNA
UUAAAGACAAGUCUGCUUUAUUGUCAAUUCUUCCACAUGUACAGUACAUACAUACAGAGAAUCGAAAUUGCGUUACUCUCAGACCCCCGGUGCAUACAGAUAACACUAACAGUAGAGCCUAAAAAUCUAGAUCAAAUAUAAAAUAUAAGAUAUAACUAUACAAUAAGGGAAUUUAAAGCAGCGCAAGGCACAUGGCAGAUAGAGUGCAAACCAGUGAACAAACAGUGCAGAUAAAAAGAUUUUUAGUGCAAAAAAAAGCUUAUUCAGUCUAAUUAAAGUGACAAAAGGGCUCAAGAGCAGUUAUUUUAUUUAAACUGACUGAUGAGGUGGUAGAAUGACGUCAUUUCCAAACAAUUAUUUAAUUAAAUUAUUGGUCUGUGAUACAAAUAAAUUGCAUAACUGGUUAUUAGUAUGAUGUAUGUAUAGUAUGAUGACCUUAGAUGUUUAAAAUGAGAGCAGCUUCUCAUGCCAGAUAUGCUAAAGAUAGAGCAGACAGAUCAGCUGUGCUUUGUGAUUUGAUUAAAUUUUCUGCAGCUGCUCCGUAGCCACUUACAGUAUGUGUCUUUGGUUGAAAGAAGCAUGUAUCAAUGCUAUCAAAUUUCUGUAGGAGAGCAUUUGGAGACGUGGCAUGAAGAGGUCAUUCCCCCUGAAAUUAAUUAAAACUAAUCCAAGGUUAAUUUAUUUAAGACAGUUUCUUAGUACAUGCCAUGUUUUUAAUGCAGACUGCAGAACAGAGUUGGCUGGAGACACAUGGACAAAAUGGAAUGUGCUGGACAUAUUUGAGAAUCAGCUCUCGUCUUGCUGAAAAAAAGCUCAUAGAAAACAUUAACAUUUAAUAUCUAAAGAGCUAAACUGUUAAUUAAAAAUGCAGUCUGGUUUGUAGUCAAUUGAUUUCUCACACCUGUACCUAGUUUUACAUCUCAUUAUUUUGUCUAACAUCUUGCCCUCAUUUAGUUUAGUUUUUGGUUUUGUCUACAGUAUACUGCCAUGUGGUUUCUCCUCUGAUUUUCUUUUUUUAUUUAAUAAAAGAACUGCAAUUCUGCAAGAGAUCCUCCUCUCCUUGUUUUCUUUUCUCGCUGUGACAUAAUAAUUAUUCUGAUACAUUAACAACAGUAUUUAACCACAAGAUUUGUGGUUUCAGUACUGUACAGUCUACAUCUCUUUAAAAAAGGCAACAAGGAGACAUUCAGGUUGCAUUCGAGUUUUCUGCAGCUUAAUUUGUUGUAUAGGCCGGUUUGAUGGGCUCAGAGUCCAUCCAUGUGCUCAACACCUGAUCCACAGAAAUCUGUGGUUUAGUAUUGCUGUUACAUUCAGGAAGGAGGGAAAUUGUCUAUUGCUUGUGACUCAUUUGAGAAAAUUAAAUGCUUGCGAUGUAAAUUAUUUUCAAAUGUAUUGCUAUCAUGCACAUCUGCAUAUACCAUUUAAGUAAGAUAUUAUAAGUGGGUCAUUUUACAAAUAUAGUUAACCCCAAAAUGAUAUCUUACUUUCUUAAAACACAAAGAUAUUUUGAACAAUGUUUCUUGAUAUAGUUUUGUUUGAUUUUGAACAACAGUUCUUAUGUUUGCAAUUUAAGUCAUAGGGUCCUAAAUAACAAAAUCUCUUUAGAACUGUAUUUAUUGGGAAAAUUGAUGCUUUCAACAAUAAACAAGAUGCCUUUAUUAACAUGCUGUGGCACAUUAUCUUAUUCUUUUACACAUUUAUGUUAAAUUAAUAUUUGGACUUUGGAGUUACUUUUGAAAAUGCUAACAGCCACACUGAAAAAAAAAAAUCUGUAUAUAUAUAUAUAUAUAUAUAUAUAUAUAUAUAUAUAUAUAUAUAUAUAUAUAUAUAUAUAUAUAAAGGUGCACAGUGUCAUUCAUACAAACACUAAACACCAUCAUGGUAACACACAAUACUGAAAUAAUGCAAUAAACAUUAAUUUAACAACAUUAGAUUUAAGCUAAAAC